rnacentral:rRNA from 1 species
CCUACGGGUGGCAGCAGUGAGGAAUAUUGGUCAAUGGCCGGAAGGCUGAACCAGCCACGCCGCGUGAAGGACGAAGGUGCCAAGCAUUUUAAACUUCUUUUGUCAAGGGCCAAAAUCAGGGUAGAGAGCCUGAACGAGGGUACUUGCAGAAAAAGCCUAGGCUAACUCCGUGCCAGCAGCCGCGGUAAUACGGGGGUUGCGAGCGUUAUCCGGAUCUAUUGGGUUUAUAGAGUGCGUAGGCGGACUGUAAAGUCAGCGGUAAAAGCCCGGGGUGAAACCCCGGCGAGCCGUGGAAACUGGCUGGCUAGAGAUGUCGAGAGGUAGGCGGAAUUCGCAGUGUAGCGGUGAAAUGCGUAGAUAUUACGCAGAACACCGAUUGCGAAGGCAGCAUACCGGCGGCGAUCUGACGCUGAGGCACGAAAGCGUGGGUAUCGAACAGGAUUAGAUACCCGAGUAGUC